rnacentral:rRNA from 1 species
GACGAACGCUGGCGGCGUGCCUAAUACAUGCAAGUCGAACGCACUCUCGUUUAGAUUGAAGGAGCUUGCUCCUGAUUGAUAAACAUUUGAGUGAGUGGCGGACGGGUGAGUAACACGUGGGUAACCUGCCCUAAAGUGGGGGAUAACAUUUGGAAACAGAUGCUAAUACCGCAUAAAACCUAACACCGCAUGGUGUAGGGUUGAAAGAUGGUUUCGGCUAUCACUUUAGGAUGGACCCGCGGUGCAUUAGUUAGUUGGUGAGGUAAAGGCUCACCAAGACCGUGAUGCAUAGCCGACCUGAGAGGGUAAUCGGCCACACUGGGACUGAGACACGGCCCAGACUCCUACGGGAGGCAGCAGUAGGGAAUCUUCCACAAUGGACGAAAGUCUGAUGGAGCAACGCCGCGUGAGUGAAGAAGGUUUUCGGAUCGUAAAACUCUAGUUGUU